AACGAACGCUGGCGGCAGGCUUAACACAUGCAAGUCGAACGCGUGUAGCAAUACACGAGUGGCGCACGGGUGAGUAACGCGUGGAUAUCUGCCUUUUGGUUCGGAAUAACUCCGGGAAACUGGAGCUAAUACCGGAUGGUUCCUACGGGAUAAAGAUUUAUCGCCAAAAGAUGAGUCCGCGUACGAUUAGCUAGUUGGUGAGGUAAUGGCUCACCAAGGCGACGAUCGUUAGCUGGUCUGAGAGGACGAUCAGCCACACUGGGACUGAGACACGGCCCAGACUCCUACGGGAGGCAGCAGUGGGGAAUAUUGGACAAUGGGGGCAACCCUGAUCCAGCCAUGCCGCGUGAGUGAUGAAGGCCU
rnacentral:rRNA from 1 species